CUGAUUUCAGAAAAAGUGUUACAGUACUAAUUAUCACUUUGAUGAAGUUGUUGCAGGAUAAUGAUGUGAUGCAACUAGACAGGGUGCUGAAUAAUUAGAAUUGCACUUUUGACCUUUCGAUGGUUGAAUAUAAGUAUACGUAUUAUAAGAUGUGAUGAUGUACUCGUGUGAGGCGGAUUGGCUACUGAUUUCUUUUUCUUUCUACUUUGAACACAAAUGUAGUUAUUUUAGAGCUAAGUUUGAUGGACAGUCUCCUUUAUUUUAGAGCUAAGUUUGAUGGACAGUCUCCUAGGGUCACAAGAGGUACGAGAGCUCACAUUCAGGUUUAUUUUGCUUU
rnacentral:lncRNA from 1 species